rnacentral:tmRNA from 1 species
GGGGGUGAAUUAGGUUCGACACAGGUGGAAGUGGCAAUGGAAGCGAGCCGAGGUUCCCACGGCCUCGUUAAGAAGUGGGAAGCAAAUUAACUGCCAACGAUAAUUACGCUCUAGCUGCUGCUUAAUAGCGGCUACGCUCUACUCUUCCGUUCCUGCCGGAGGAGAUAGGGUGUCAUAUUGCAGGAUUCCGCUCUGGGGAUGCUCAUAGCCAGAGGGGGAAACUUGAUGAGCUAGUCUCUAUCCGGUCCUGCCCUUGGGAAUGGAUGGAGGCGAAUGUUAAACAAGGGCUACGCUCGUAGAAGCAUUGUGGCUUCAUCUGUGGACAGCGGUGCAACUCCGCUCACCUCCACCA